AAUCUACAUUCAGGUCUGGGACAACCACUGGAAACGGUGGCUAAUACCGGAUGUGCCGGGAGGUGAAAGAUUUAUUGCCUGAAAAUGAGCUCGCGUCUGAUUAGCUAGUUGGUGUGGUAAGAGCGCACCAAGGCGACGAUCAGUAGCUGGUCUGAGAGGAUGACCAGCCACACUGGGACUGAGACACGGCCCAGACUCCUACGGGAGGCAGCAGUGGGGAAUUUUCCGCAAUGGGCGAAAGCCUGACGGAGCAAUACCGCGUGAGGGAGGAAGGCUCUUGGGUCGUAAACCUCUUUUCUCAAGGAAUAAGAAAGUGAAGGUACUUGAGGAAUAAGCAUCGGCUAACUCCGUGCCAGCAGCCGCGGUAAUACGGAGGAUGCAAGCGUUAUCCGGAAUGAUUGGGCGUAAAGGGUCCGCAGGUGGCAUUGAAAGUCUGCUGUUAAAGAGUUUGGCUCAACCAGAUAAAAGCAGUGGAAACUACAAAGCUAGAGUGCGUUCGGGGCAGAAGGAAUUCCUGGUGUAGCGGUGAAAUGCGUAGAGAUCAGGAAGAACACCGGUGGCGAAAGCGUUCUGCUAGGCCUGCACUGACACUGAGGGACGAAAGCUAGGGGAGCG
rnacentral:rRNA from 1 species